rnacentral:misc_RNA from 1 species
CCCUGAUCUGCUUGAGAGAGAGCAUUCAUAUCAAAAUCCAGACUAUGGAAAUCCCGUACGAAGUGGAAAAAUGAAAGUCAUUGCCCAAGUGCUUAAGGUUUGGCAGGAGCAGGGACAUCGUGUUCUUCUUUUUUCUCAAACUCAACAAAUGCUUGACAUUCUCGAAAGUUUCUUAAUUUCUAGUGGUUAUUGCUACCGACGAAUGGAUGGCCUUACUCCGAUAAAGCAGAGAAUGGCCCUAAUAGAUGAAUUUAACAACUCAAAUGAUGUCUUCAUUUUCAUCUUAACUACAAAGGUUGGUGGAUUAGGGACUAAUCUAACCGGUGCAAAUAGAGUGAUCAUCUUUGACCCGGAUUGGAAUCCUUCAACUGACAUGCAGGCAAGGGAAAGGGCUUGGCGUAUUGGUCAGAAACGGGAUGUCACUGUUUAUAGAUUGAUUACACGUGGAACUAUUGAGGAGAAGGUGUACCACCGGCAGAUUUACAAACAUUUUCUUACAAAUAAGAUAUUGAAAAACCCGCAGCAGAGAAGGUUCUUUAAAGCUCGAGAUAUGAAGGAUCUUUUCACUUUGAAUGAUGAUGGAGAGAGUGGGUCAACUGAAACAUUUAACAUUUUCAGUCAGUUAUCUGAAGAUGUAAAUGUUGUUGGUGCAAAGAAAGAAAAGCAGGACAAGCAGAAACACCAUAAAUGUAGGGCAUCACGUGCUGAUGAUGCUGCAAUGGACCAGGAAAGCAAACCUGAUACCGGAUGCUCCAGGAUGAAAGGGAAAGAAAAAGCAAAUCAUAGUGAUGAAGUGGAUGAAGAAACAAAUAUUUUGAGGAGUCUUUUUGAUGCUCAUGGCAUACAUAGUGCAAUGAACCAUGAUGCUAUUAUGAAUGCACAUGAUGAAGAGAAGAUGAGACUUGAGGAGCAGGCUUCCCAAGUUGCGCAAAAGGCAGCAGAAGCAUUGCGUCAAUCACGAAUGCUGCGUAGUCGUGAUAGCAUAUCUGUCCCAACAUGGACAGGGAAAUCGGGGACUGCUGGUGCACCAUCUUCUGUUAGCCAGAAAUUUGGAUUAACUGUGAAUUCCCAGCUGAUUAGGUCUUCUGAUCAAUCAUCCAGCAAUAAAACAAGCAGCUUGAAUGGAAUAGCUGCUGGAGCUUCUGCUGGAAAGGCAUUAUCCUCAGCUGAACUACUUGCAAAAAUUCGUGGAAAUCAAGAAAAGGCUGUUGGUGCUGGGCUGGCAUCAAGUUCUGCUAACAGAGCAAGGUCUGAAAAUGGAAUGUCAUCUCAAAAUUCAUCUAGCGUCCAGCCUGAAAUACUGAUUCGGCAGAUCUGUACAUUCAUACAACAAAGAGGUGGAAACGCUGAUUCAUCAAGCAUAGUGCAGCACUUCAAGGAUAGGAUCCCUUCAAAGGAUCUGCCCUUGUUUAAGAAUCUUUUGAAGGAGAUAGCUAAAUUGGAGGAAGACCAAAAUGGAAAAUUGUGGGUUUUGAAGCCAGAGUAUGGACAGCAAUAACUCAUGGCUUACUGUUUAUUUGCUUUGACAGCACAGAUCUUGCUACCGUGUUGCGAGCUUCCUCCUUUUUUGCAUGGAAAACAUUUUGGUAAUCGUAGUACCUUUUGGUAGUGUUGAUUCAUGGUAGC